GGGUGAGUAACACGUGGGAACCUUCCCUAUAGUACGGAAUAGCCCAGGGAAACUUGGAGUAAUACCGUAUACGCCCGAAAGGGGAAAGAAUUUCGCUAUAGGAUGGGCCCGCGUAGGAUUAGCUAGUUGGUGAGGUAAUGGCUCACCAAGGCGACGAUCCUUAGCUGGUUUGAGAGAACGACCAGCCACACUGGGACUGAGACACGGCCCAGACUCCUACGGGAGGCAGCAGUGGGGAAUAUUGGACAAUGGGCGCAAGCCUGAUCCAGCCAUGCCGCGUGAGUGAUGAAGGCCUUAGGGUUGUAAAGCUCUUUUGCCGGGGACGAUAAUGACGGUACCCGGAGAAUAAGUCCCGGCUAACUUCGUGCCAGCAGCCGCGGUAAUACGAAGGGGACUAGCGUUGUUCGGAAUCACUGGGCGUAAAGCGCACGUAGGCGGAUUCGUAAGUCAGGGGUGAAAUCCCGGGGCUCAACCUCGGAACUGCCUUUGAUACUGCGGGUCUUGAGUCCGAUAGAGGUGGGUGGAAUUCCUAGUGUAGAGGUGAAAUUCGUAGAUAUUAGGAAGAACACCGGUGGC
rnacentral:rRNA from 1 species